rnacentral:lncRNA from 1 species
GCCCCUAGGUAUAUUCGGAUUUGUAAUGAAUGUAUUACCUAUUACAGUAAAGUUAUGUAUGUACUCGCAGGACAGAUAUGCCACCCGGAUAAACAUUAUUUUUAGAAACGUCAUGAUGUCUAAUAAUUAAUUUUAUGUGGAGAUCACAUUGUCAUUGUGGACUUCACGUUAGGCUUGUUGUUUCUAUGGAAUUUCAUUAUUUUUAGGCUUCGAAUAAACAAAACUAGUUAUAUCUUUGUAAUAGUCAUCGAUUUACUUACAACUACUCCACAUUUGUCUUAAGAACAUAAUGUGAAAUAAGUAACUUUAUGAAGAGUUUUUAUUCUUUUCAAUUUAGUUCAUGGUUUAAAUAUUAAGUCGUAAAAGUAUUUUUUUUUUUUUUUAAAAAGAGAUCUACUACCCUUCCUUCCUGUUAGGUAAUCUCGCGGACAAGCAAGUUAUUACGAGCGGAGUCUUUGUGAUCACUCUUUUGGGAAACAUGAGCAACGGAAUAUUUGAUGUGUUCUCCACACUUAUGUGAACAUG